rnacentral:lncRNA from 1 species
UUUUUUUGACUUAAAAUUAAAUAACUUUCUUUUCUGAUUUUCAAAAUUGAUAAUAAAUCGACAUGUAUUUAAUGUAUAUUAUUCUACUCAAUGUGUAUUGAUCUAUUGUAGUUGUACAACCAAUAUUGCUCGGCCCAUACCUGCAAAACAAAAAUAGCCCAUUUACAAAAUUUUAACCCAAUACUCAAACCCAUUACAGACCCAAAUACAACCCAACAAAAUUAAACCCUACACCCUAGCCUAAUUAUCAACACCUAAACAGCCCAAAUGGCCCAACACAAAAAAAGAAAUAGGAAACCCUAACCCUAGGUGCGCCGCACCUAGGGUCUUCUUCUACCACCGCUGCCUGCAGCCACCUGCCCACUUGCCACUGCCACGGUCACGUCGCCACCGCCACAAGCACCUGCAAACAAGUCAAAAGCAGCAACAAUAUUUGACAGAAAAUGAAAAUAGAAUAGAUUUUAUUAUAUGUUAUUUGGCUAUAAAAGCCAGCAAAGAUCUGUAACAAAGGGGGGGGUUUCUUUGGCUUUCAAAAAACCGAUUCAAAUGAAAAUAAUAAGAACAAAGCAGAUUCGAAAAGAAAAGAAGUAGAAAUCCAAAGGUUUUUAUUCGUUUUUAUUGUUUUUUUAACUGUUUCUAUUUAAACUUUCUAAUUUUCUUUCAUUUUUUUAGGGAACUAUAAAUAUAUAUAUAAGUAUAUAUUAAAAAGGUACCUUUAUGAGUUUCUGACCGCCGCAUACGGCGGCACCGGCGUCGGCGACCGGCGGCCUGAGCGGCGGCGAUCGGCCGGACUUUAGGCCGGAGGUGGGGCUGGAGAGGGGAGAGUUGAGAGAAAAAAAAGCUUUUGAAAUUUUUUCUUGAAAAACAGUGGCCGAAAUGAGCAAAAAAGAAAACUUUUUGUCUUUUAUAGGGAUAUAAAACGACACCGUUUUAGGCUCAAACCAUAGAUGCCAAAAUGACGCCGUUUAGAAUUGG